rnacentral:lncRNA from 1 species
GGAGCCCCCCGGGCCGCCUGAGACCCCCUGGGUGGGAUCUGACCCCCCCUGGGGUGGGGUUUGAUCCCCCCUGGGUGGGAUCUGACCCCUCCAUGGGGCAGGAUCCAGCCCCGAUCCCAUCAGGAUUUGGGGUCGGGUCUUGUUCCCCUUCUCGCUGCCCUACUGGGACCUGCCGGGAGCCCCCCGGGCUGGGUGAGACCCCCUGGGGUGGGAUUGAUCCCCCCUGGGUGGGAUCUGACCCCCCCUGGGUGGGAUUUGAUCCCCCCUGGGUGGGAUUGAUCCCCUCCAGGUGGGGUUUGAUCCCCCCUGGGUGGGAUCUGACCCCUCCAUGGGGCAGGAUCCACCCCCGAUCCCAUCAGGAUUUGGGGUCGGGUCUUGUGUCCCCUCUCCAGAUCCUGAAGGAACUUUCUGGAACCCCUCCAGGGUGGGAUUUGACCCCUCCCCGGGGGGAUCUGACCCCCCCAGGGUGGGAUUUGACCCCCCCAGGGUGGGAUUUGACCCCCCCAGGGUGGGAUUUGACCCCUCCAGGGUGGGAUCUGACCCCUCCAGGGUGGGAUUUGACCCCUCCCCGGGGGGAUUUGACCCCCCCAAAGCGGAUCUGGCCCCGAUCCCUUCGGGGGUCUCGGGCACGUCGGGCACUGCUGUGGCAAUUAAAGG